CGCUGAAGUCCUUGACUUUUAAGGCACCCAUCUUGGGGCCAACCAGGUGUUGCAGGAAGUAGUUCAACAUGGAGAUGAUGCGCUCAGCCAGGAAGGGAUGCACAAAGAGUGACUUGAUCUCUGAUGUGAGAAAGGCAAGGGUACCGAUUGUUUCAUUGGACAUGAUGUUAUGGAAACGUGCCAGCUGUCCAAACAUCUGUAGGCCAGCCUCCUUUUCUCGGCGGGCUUCUGGAGUCAGACUAUCCCAUUCAC
rnacentral:lncRNA from 1 species